GAGGAGCAGGAACAGAAGGAGCACGAAGGCGAGCACUCGAGGAGGAGCAGCAGCAGGGGAGGGAGCAUUGCGGGGUUCCACGGCGAGCCCGCUGAGCCCGCAGCUCGACUGGCUACGGCAGCAUCGCAUUGCCCCGCAUCCCGCAGGAUUUCCCAUUUCCAAACCUUAUCUGGAUAGAGGAGAAGUCUGCGAGGAAGAGGAAGAUGCCUUGGGAUAGCCUGGCAGGCAUCUUCCACAGCCAAAUAGUAAUGGACUGGAGCAAAAAACCAGGAUUUUGGAGACAAUGGAGUGGAAAUCCCUCUAGAAAAGGUCUACCUUCUACCCGCCCAGGCACAUGGAUACUCAGCAGCAUGGACACGUAAAUCCUUUUAUUUUGACUUUGAUUUUCCUUCAUUUUUCUUCAUCCCUUCACCCAAAUAUUGGCGUAAAAUAAAGACAUUCAGCUAAGA